rnacentral:misc_RNA from 1 species
AAUACCAUCGUAAGCGAUGGCCGUAAUCGAAGGCGCACGCCAUACGUGCAUGAGCGUUUCAAGUUAUUCUGCUCGUCUUCCCGCUACACGAGUCUGUAUUCGGCAAGAGAUCAAUUUCACCUCAACAGGCGUGUAGGGCAUUUUGUCCCCAUUGCUUUCAGCGUUCUCGCGUUGCAAGAGAAAAGAGGUACGGCGCUGGCGUCUCCCUGCAAAGGCAACAGGACAUGCUUAUAGGCGUGUGGGUCCACUCCCCCGUUCCCAAGGGCGAAACUGCAGCAGUCGUGGCCUGGCGUUACUGCAAUGACACUACUAGACGAGCGUGCCUCACGUCCGGCUACACGCCAAAGAAUGACCUGGUGACGUGGAAAGUUCUCUUGAUCCAGGUACCAAGCGACACCGCACUCAUCCCUCACCGUCUUGGAGUGAAAGCCAACUCGCACCACCCGGUGUGGGAUACGAAAUGACGACACGAGUAGGCUGGGACCAUUCUAAACGACUGGCUCAAGGGAAAAUUCUUGACGCGCGCAGGCAACAAUAACACCUCGGCACGGCACAGCGCAGAUGGGACCAUGACGACGCCACCUUGGCUCUCGACCGCGUCAUCUAGGAUUGCGGAACCGUCACAAUGGCGCCGGGUGACCACUUAGUGAUCAAGUUCGCUGCCCACCUUGAGUAGGGGUAGGGUUCGACGCCACAAGUGAUAACUGGAGCCCAAACAUGUUCCUUCCAAAAAGCGAUAUGGAAACUGUACCGCUACGUGGUUGCCAAAUCGAUCCGCAAACACCGUACCCUUCACAGCGAUACAGAAGCAAACACGCGCGCACUUCAGAGGGCUGCGCUGACCCUGACCAACACGACAAGCUGAAAGGGCACCAGAGAGAGGAGGCAGAUCGCCCGUGCAGUCCUACCCACCACAAAUACCACCACAUACACGUACAACUGCACAGUUUCACUCAGGGAGGAGGUUGCAUUCACAACUGAACUCAUAGCGAAGACCGCCGGGAAAGCUGUCCCAUCUGGUAAGGCCGCUUAUAAGCGGUUCUGAACGUCAUACAUGACGCGGGUGCAAGCAACUUUUGAGCAGGCAGCCUGCGCGUCGCCCUCGCUCGCACAUGCCCAUUAAAGAGCUAGCCUCGAGGGAUGGAUGCAGUCCUGCUACGCCCUCACUCCGCCCCGCCGUGUGACGUCGACCAGCACCCGGCGCAAAAGCCCCUCCAGCGAAUCGCCUCGCGACUACAGCGCAACCAUUCUGUGAGGCUGGCCCCAACCUCACCAAUACGGCUCCCGUCCUCACCCCCUCCGCUGUAGACCCCUCCCCCCCCCUGGGGUUGCAUUCCCACAAAGCGGUGUGGCACCAGAAAGGUAUGCCGAGACAGCCGCGGCGCUGGCCGACUUUACGCUCGCACGCCUGUCUUUCAUUUAUUUCCUUGCCAUCAUCGCGUCCUCCUUUCUCCUAGUUGCGCCCUUUAUCAACGCUCGCUUUACACAAAG